CUACUACUAGGGAGAAAGAGAGAUUUGGGAAGUAUAAAAGAUUUUGAAAACAAGAUGGGCUUUCUUGAAGCGCACAACCACUGCCUUAUCUCCUGAAUCUCUCUCUUUCUCUCUCCCGCCACUGGAAAAGGUCUAAUCUCAUCAACUCUCAGUCUCUCUCCGUUAACUUUCUGCCCACCUAUAUCAUUAACUCUCUCACCAUGAACGAAAAGCGGAAAAGGAAGGCUCAUCUCACCUCAUCUGAGUUCUUGUGCUUCCACUUCCUCCCCGGUUCUUCAUCUCAUCUCACCUCAUCUCUAAUUAUGUCGUUUCUUAGGUGCUUGUUGUAAUGUGUGACUACAUGCUCGUCUAAUUUGCUGAUUGCAAUUGGCUAGUCCCUAGUUUUAAUCCAUUGCUAUUUUUUCAGAUAAAAGUUGAUUGUACCCUGAUAUUCACUCUUCAAUUUAAUAAGUACAUGCUCGUCUAAUUUGCUGAUAACAAUUGGCUAGUCCCUAGUUUUAAUGACUACAUGCUUGCCUUAAAAAGUGAUUGUCACUUUUUUUGUUGUUGCUGUAAUGGAGUAUUGCGUACUGUGGGGAGUAUUCCCAAACCUUUGUUCUUGUUUGCCUCCCCAACAAUGAAUGGUCAUAUUGAGUUGCGAAGCAUUUCAACUUUGCUAGUGUACUUAGUUUUUGAAUUUCCUAAAAUCAAUAUGACCAAAUUUUUCUAAAUUUUAAGGCAAAAGUUAUAGUUUUACUUAAUCAUAUGACCAAAUUUUCUUAAACUUUAUUUAUUAGUUAUCAAUAGAAGAGAAAGGAGGGACCCCCUGUUUUCCUUUUCUCUUGCACCUCCUAGCAAAUAAAGCAAGAAACUAAUAAAUGAACAAAACAGUUACCUAAAGGAAAAUGCAUAUGAUAGCAGUGAAGGUUAAAAGUUUGGUAAUGCUUUCAUUUUGUGUAGACAACAAUACCCUAACUAGAGGAGAUUUCAGAAAGAACCUGUUUGAGACUCUUGCAAGUUCCAAUACUAGCAUUUUUUGUCCUCACCAUAACACUGAACAUGGAUACAUAUAAGGUGUACAGUUUCUGCAGAAUCACAAAUAUGUGCAUCGAUAUUACACACAAAAAAACAGAUAAUAAAUAAGCAUUGAUCACAUAAGUUGUUGAGCGUGAACUAACCUAUUGUCUUUAACCUUGUCUUUGGUUGUAUUCUUUGUGGAAGCAGUAGAAGAACCAAUAGAUGCAAAACCAUAACAAAGGUUAAUAUUGAAUUUAAUUAAGUAGUAACAUUUUUUAGUAUUACUACUUCAUACUUUCAGCUUUUGGGUUGGAUCCAGCAAAAUGGGGAGGUACAUAAAAGACAUUUAUAUGAUGCAGUUUGAGUUUCCUUAUUUUGAUAAAGAGUGAGGCCUUCUGUGUGUCAAGACAUCAUGCCAAAGAAAUUUGGAACAUUAUGAUUUUUAUUUGUUCAGUUCUUUUUUUAUGGUUCAAAAUUUUGGCUACUUGCUUGCAAACUGCAAAAGAUUGCCAAUAUACUAUAGUGUAUAGGAGAUCAAUUAGGUUAUUAGUGGUUUUAUACUUUUAUCUUCUCUGAAUCUGAAAGCAAGAUGGCUAACUCUGAAACCCUAACAUUCCUUUGUUUAAUUUUACUUUCUCUGUUGUGUUCUUCUUUUCUAAAAUUAUAUUGUUACUUAACAACAUUUAGAUGGAUUUGUUCUAGUACUGAUGUGGAUCAAGUUCUACUCAGCUCAAUCUGUUUCAAUCAUUAUCUGCUAUUGAGAAUUUUUCUGUUUGAUAUUGCUGGUUUCUGAAAUUGCACAAAAGAUGUUUGUGCAAUUUAAGAAUUGUUAAAUUAGUUAUGAAUUGUUAAAUUUAUAAUUGUUAGAAAAGGAACAAAGGAAAACAAGAUGGAUGGACCGACGGACAGGACACACUACUUUUACAAAUAUUCAUAUCAGUAAAAAACUCAGUAGGUCAUUUUGAAAACAUGACUCCCGAUGCACAGAGUACAUGGGAGUUAGCUACCCAGUUUUAUAACGAUUCAUGCAUUACCCUAUGCAAUACUGGGUGUACUACCAGAACACUAGAGGAAGUGAUGGACAGACUCAAGCAGUUGAGAUCAAAAUUCAGGAGAUAUAAAAGUAAUGGUUCUUCCCGUGCAUGGGGUCCAAUGGACAAAGCCACACACUUGUUUGAGAAUUUGAAGAUGACUUUCCCAAAGUUUCCCAACACUCAUCCCGAAGCCCCUAACCCCGAGCCGGACACGAGGACCAGGAGCAUAAGCCCACCAAGCAGAACUUCAACUAAUCCUUUUGCGCCAUAUGCAUGUGCCUCUGCUUGGACAGGAGGUGCCCUCAAUAAUCUAACAACCCGUAUUGAUUUUGUUGAGCUUGUUCAGAAAGCACUAAAGGGGAAAACGAAAUUAAGUAAAGAUAAGCUUGAAGAGUUUUCCUACGAAUUUCUGGAUAGGUGUUCUUAGGACCAAAGGAAAACUAUGGUCACGUUUGGUAUAGAAUACUAUGUACAAGCAGAACGCUAUCUGCAGCAUUUGAUGACAGCUCACAACAUGAAACUGUAAGAUGAGGGAAAAGAUGGUGGUGGUGUGGGGGCAAACAUGGUUGUGGUGUGUUGUGGAGAUGGUGGUAGCAUGGAGGGUAUUCUAAUUUUGAUUUGAAGGGUAUUCUUUUCUGAAGUUGUGUUGUGAUGAUCUUUAUUUAUGUUGUUUUUGUUGUGAUGAUCUUUAUUUAUGUUUUUUUAUUGAAUAUUUUGUUCUGUCUUAUUCUAAUUCUGAUUCUAAGCCAAAGCACAUUUUUCAUGAUUGGUUUUCUUCUUAUGGCUUAGCAACAGGGGCGGAUUCACCGCCUGGCGAGCUUGGGCCUAUGCCCAGGCUCUAAGGGAAAGAAAGAAAAAAUUCUUUGGACAAGCUUCUUUUUUGGCUCCAAAAUAAAAAGAAAAAAUGGGCAAAAUUGGGCGGUGGGUGAGGAGAUCACGGUGAGCUGGUGAGAGAGACAGAGAGUGAGAGGUGAAAGCUUGAAAGGCGGUGGGCGGAGAGUGAGAGGUUUCCAUCUCCAAUUUUCAUUUAUCCUUUUCCUGAGUCUCUGUUUUGCUGAUCUGUUUUUAUUUCUUACUAUUUUGGGUCGGUGGGGCAGUAGGAGGUGAACAGAGGAGAGGAAAAUAAGUUUGAUUUUUUGUCUCUAUUACAGAGAGUGAGAUGAAAAGCUCUUUUGUUUUUCUCUUGCUUUGACCCUGUUAUUGUUUUGUUCUCCCAUGCUACUUACGGUUUUCCUCCUCUUUGUAUCUCUUUUUAUUUUAUUUUCUCAUUUGUUAUAUGGGUGACUUAUUAAUAUUACAAUGGCUUAUAAAUAAAUAAAA